rnacentral:rRNA from 1 species
GAUGAACGCUGGCGGCGUGCCUAACACAUGCAAGUCGAGCGAACGGACGAGAAGCUUGCUUCUCUGAUGUUAGCGGCGGACGGGUGAGUAACACGUGGAUAACCUACCUAUAAGACUGGGAUCACUUCGGGAAACCGGAGCUAAUACCGGCUAAUAUUUUGAACCGCAGGGUUCACAAGUGAAAGACGGUCUUGCUGUCACUUAUAGAUGGAUCCGCGCUGCAUUAGCUAGUUGGUAAGGUAACGGCUUACCAAGGCAACGAUGCAUAGCCGACCUGAGAGGGUGAUCGGCCACACUGGAACCGAGACACGGUCCAGACUCCUACGGGAGGCAGCAGUAGGGAAUCUUCCGCAAUGGGCGAAAGCCUGACGGAGCAACGCCGCGUGAGUGAUGAAGGUCUUCGGAUCGUAAAACUCUGUUAGUAGGGAAGAAGAUAUGUGUAUGUAACUGUGCACAUCUUGACGGUACCUAAACAGAAAGCCACGGCUAACUACGUG